CCUACGAGCGGCUGCAGUGGGGAAUAUUGCACAAUGGGGGAAACCCUGAUGCAGCAACGCCGCGUGAAGGAAGACGGUUUUCGGAUUGUAAACUUCUGUUCUUCGUGAAGAAUACUGACGGUAGCUAAGGAGCUAGCCACGGCUAACUACGUGCCAGCAGCCGCGGUAAUACGGAGGUGGCAAGCGUUGUCCGGAAUUACUGGGUGUAAAGGGAGCGCAGGCGGGAAGCCAAGUCAGCUGUGAAAGCUACGGGCUUAACUUGUAGACUGCAGUGGAAACUGGUUUUCUUGAGUGAAGUAGAGGUUGGCGGAAAUCCGGGUGUAGCGGUGAAAUGCGUAGAUAGUCGGAGGAACACCGGUGGCGAAGGCGGCCAACUGGGCUUUAACUGACGCUGAGGCUCGAAAGUGUGGGGAGCAAACAGGAUUAGAUACCCUGGUAGUC
rnacentral:rRNA from 1 species